CCGGCCCGACCAGGUGGCGCCGGCACGAUGUCCAAGGUUAGCAGCAGGCUGCUGCUGCGCUGCCGAACGCAUUUCGACUGCUACCCGCCACACAAAACGCUUCAAUUCUCAUAAUAAUCAAUCACGAAAUGUUUUACCAUUGUUUUUAAACGCAUCAACGUCAAUAAUUCUAGUACUACAACAUUUACAAAAUGGCGUCGGUGCAAAAAUCAGCUGAGUCAAAACAACACAGCUGCUAUCAAUUUAAUAACUUGGAAAUAGUACUUUUAAUUUAUUUCAUAAUUUGUUAAUUGAGUUUUAGUUGGAUUGCUUUUCUCGUUGAAGAAAAAUUAAUAAAGCGCAGUUUCGUGAACGCAGCAGCACCGCCCUAGUACACUAGCCUGCAAGUAUUGAUUUUCUCGACCUCGGCUCGCGCGCACCCCCGCCCCCACCAACGCUACUACGUAGUACACUACAGCGUACCGGCGCAGAAAGGGCAGCAAAGGGAUAUAAGGGGCGGCCGGGGCAUUGUUGCAAGAAGCGGGCCAGCGCGACGCGCGCGUACGUACAACGCCGUAUGUUACGUCACGCGACGUCGACGAAUCAGCUGCUGGGCGUGGCGGCGACCCCUAGUCGCACGCAUCACCGCUCAGAGGGCGCUACAAUUAAAUCACAACUCAAGAAAGAAAAACCACACAACUUUCAUUACAUCAAGAGAUGACAACAACGGAUUAAAUCAGAUGGCAAUUGUUUCAACAUGACUCACGCGGCUGUGGCGCGUCACGCCGUAUGCACAUAACCUCCACACUGCACGCCGAUACAUUAUUAUUAUUACAUGUUUUCCAGUUCUAGCAAAGCUCGUAAUGAUCGUAAUGAAUAACGAUUCUAUUAUUACUUGGCGCCACUCGACUGGCACAGGCGCGACCGCAAAACGGAACCGAAUCGGAAUCAAAGCCAACCGCGAAACGCGUGACACCCACACACACACAUAUGUCGAAUGGCAUGCACGCGAUUUCGAAGAAAAUGCACGUUCGACUAAAUAUAAAUAACAAACAAACACGGCGGACGCCAUUGUUUAAAAUAAAACUUACUCCAAACAAUUUCAUUCAAACAAAGUUGUUUCGUGGCGUGCAAUAGUGCAAAAUGAGUAUUUGUGGAAUGCAGUCGGUAUUAUACGCAGCUAGAAAACCGGCUGGAAUGCCGAAGUCGACGGGGUCGACAAGCCGUCAAGAAAAGCGGAAAAAUCCGCCACAUGUGCAUUCCGCGCACACCUGUGAACCGGGGCCGCGUCUUAAAUCAAGAAUCAGCAAGAGUCGCAUGUCUUUGGCACCGUUAACGCGAGGAAUUUGCUGUGCUCGAGGUGUUGACGAUGCAAUACGCACACUUACCGCAAAUCACAACAAUAAAAAGAUUUCUAUUUAUACAGCAACUAUCAAUUAAUUAAUACUUAAAUAAAAUUUAAAAAAAAUA